GCGGCACUUUCUCCCACUUUUCCCUCAGAUAUCCCCGGUGCGUGCCCUGAGUUAUAAACCAACUACUCCGCGUACUUAUGCCAUGGGACUUUGGGAGUGCACUCCUUGGCCUGGUGAACGGACUCGUGCAGGAUCGAUAGGAUCGUGGGAAAUCGUAGCUCGAAAAGAAGAAGAAGAAUGAACUACUUUUCCAAGUAAUUAGUUGCAUUUGAUGAUCGUGAUUGAGGCAGAGAGUGCUGCUGAUCGCGAUCUAGAUCCGGGUCAAGAAUCACCUCCUGAUCCUAAGGAAACCUCAGCUGACGUAGAUCUACGUUCUCUUCGCGUGAACGCUCAGUCUGUAUUGGCUUGGGCCACAGAGCGUUCCGAAUCCCAGCCGCUAAAGACCCACAGAAGGCAAGAAGUUUGCGUUGCAAAGCUGCUGUCCCGCCUGACUGCGGAGAAAGAAGACUCGUUUAUGGUUGUUCUACAGCCGCUGCUGACGUCCAUCAGCUCUGCCCUGCUCCCAGCUGCAGAUAGGCCUGGAUUUCAAUGAGUCGUGUCCCAACUCCGGUGUGACCGAUUUCCCGACGUCAAGACGAAGUGGGGUCAAGUCAUGGGUGUUGCAAGGAAGCUGUCACAAGAUGAUCUGGUAUUGAACGGCUACAGCACAACCGAGAGAACGAAAUGUACGUCGCAAUCAAGCUAUGUCGUUGCCAUCUUCUAUUUGCCAUGCAUUACCUGAUGUGCCAGCCUGCUAUGUCGGAUACCGCUAACCAUGCAUCGACUAGGCGCCAGGCGCGAACUGAUGGUGGUGGUGGUGGUGGUAAGAAGGAGAGCUCUGUGCCAGAAUAACUUUGCAGUUUAGAGAGCGUGUCUGGGCAGGCGUGUAUUUACCCCCAUAUUGCCAGGUGUGUAUUUACCACCAUAUGAACCAACCAUAAGUGCAGUUGCAGUGGAGUCUUCAACUUCAUUCUCCCGAGUCAAGCUCCUUCAUCUAAGAAGAAGAUUGCCUGAUGAAUCCAGCCGGGCCGAAAGGUACGUCGCAAUCAAGCUAUGUUGUUGCUGUGUCAUCUGCUAUGCGCCAUACGCUACCUGAUGUACCAACCUGCUAUGUCGGACACCACUCACCCUGCAUCGACUAGGCGCCAGACGCGAACUGAUGAUGGUGGUGGUGGCGGGAAGGAGAGCUCUGUGCCAGAAUAACUUUUCAGUUUAGAGAGCGUGUGUAGGCAGGUGUGUAUUUACCGCCGUAUGAAUCAACCACAGUACAAUCAGCUGACGUUAUAACUUAUAAGGAUGAUCUCGUGCAGCGAUAUUAUUGAUAUUUUUUAAGUCUUUUCUAAGGACUCUCCACUGCAGCGUUUUCUUUCCACUCGGUUCUCUUCUUUUCAUCGCUCAGCUUGCACUUGCAAUGCUUAUUAUAGCAAUAAAAACUGCUUUAUGGCAGUUUUCUAAAAAAAGUUAUUGUGUUCUAGUCCAUGGACCCCGUCUAAAAAGUAAGAAAUUAACGAAAUGUGAUAGCUGAAAAUUAAAAUUUCACACAAAACCUCACAAUAAUCACAACACUUGAAAUGCUGCUUUCAACACUAAACUUGUACUCCACCAACAAUUGGCAACAUGCAUGCAUAGGAAAGAGGAUCACGAGGAGAAAAGGUCUUCUACAUGUAGCUUUCAUUCUGUGUGUGAUUAUUGUGAGGUUUUGUGUGAAAUUUUAAUUUUCAGCUAUCACAUUUCGUUAAUUUCUUACUUUUUAGACGGGGUCCAUGGACUAGAACACAAUAACUUUUUUUAGAAAACUGCCAUAAAGCAGUUUUUAUUGCUAUAAUUUCUUCUGUUUUUUUCUGUCACCAAUCAAUGAAAUGCCCUAUCAAUAUGUAAAUGAUGGCCUUCACAUCAUAUCAAUACCGUAUUAUACGCAUUGAUGAGCAAGCCUUUUCUUGCAGAAAAUGGGACUAGCAUGUUCUUCUGCGGGGAUACAUGUGAGUAGUGGUGGACUGUGGUGAUACCUUUUUUAUACGGAGGUCAUUCUGUGCAUGUUGCUGUAGCAGAAUUUCAUGACUCUGUCAUAAAAUUGUCUUGCCUUUCAGAUAUUUCAGAUUUCCCCACCCUCGAUCAGAUUUAUUUGAGAAAUGUAACCAGGUGCGUGUCGCAGAUGUUUUUGUUGAUUCUGUGUUUAUAAUGGUUUAUAAUCAUGGGUUAUCGUGAUAAGGUCAUCCUGCACCAUAUUGCACUGAAAUCGUAACCCUGUUGAUGUCGAUACAAUUUUUGGAAGUAGUUCAAUGACUUCGAACUGUUAGUCCACGAUUUUCUAAAACAACACAGCAAAGGAGGAACAAUAAACAUGUAUUAAAAUGUAAACAAAUACAUUGCUGAGUCCGACACCUCGUUCCAACAACUACACUGAUCCUGAGGAUAAAAGGGGCAAGGCUAUGGUUGGAGGUACUGAGAGAUAAACAAGGCACUCCAUAAUAAUAGAAUCGUACACAUUUUUUGGUGAGUA